GACGAACGCUGGCGGAGUGCUUAACACAUGCAAGUCGAACGGAAAGGCCCUGCUUGCAGGGUACUCGAGUGGCGAACGGGUGAGUAACACGUGGGUGAUCUGCCCUGCACUUCGGGAUAAGCCUGGGAAACUGGGUCUAAUACCGGAUAGGAGCCAUUUUUAGUGUGAUGGUUGGAAAGUUUUUUCGGUGUAGGAUGAGCUCGCGGCCUAUCAGCUUGUUGGUGGGGUAAUGGCCUACCAAGGCGGCGACGGGUAGCCGGCCUGAGAGGGUGGACGGCCACAUUGGGACUGAGAUACGGCCCAGACUCCUACGGGAGGCAGCGGUGGGGAAUAUUGCACAAUGGGCGCAAGCCUGAUGCAGCGACGCCGCGUGGGGGAUGACGGCCUUCGGGUUGUAAACUCCUUUCGCUAGGGACGAAGCUUUUUGUGACGGUACCUAGAUAAGAAGCACCGGCUAACUACGUG
rnacentral:rRNA from 1 species